CAAUCACAUAGUACUUGGUUUGGAGCUACCCAAUUCGUAAAGCGAGGAACACGCGUUGCAUACGGGAUUCCGAUUUACUACGUGGGACAAGGUUUCAGUGCGGGCAUUUUUAUUACGGGAAAUUACGCAUAGGACCAACCCUGUUGGAUCUAUAAUCUAUGCUGAAAGCGAGGAUUAACUAAAAGCGAAACAUCAUAACAUUGGAUCACGGCGCAAAUUGGACACGGACAAAAUCGAUACUGUUUUACAACAAGGACAAACUGCCGACACACGAGUGGAUAACGUCUGGCAUCGUUGAAAAUAUUUGUGGAAUAAGCUAGGCUUAUAGAGAUUCCAAAGUUUGCAGUUCCGUAACAACAUAAAACUAACUAAAUAGACCAAGAAAAAGAUCGAGAUGUUUUUAAGAGGUUAACUUCUUCUGCAAUUCGACAAUUUUUCAGAACUCUGAACUCAUAGCGUAAAGCAAUAUCGGCUUUCGCAGUUAUUUGGUUUUAAAUUUCGUCCCAUUAACCAAUACAUUGCAAUUGUUGACGGAACAAUAACUCACUCAUCCACUAGCUUGAUCAAUCCAUAUCAACCAUCUCUCCGCGAUUUCGGAGGGUAUUGGGGUAGCCUAAAGUACAUUUAUAAAGAAGAAAAUCUCUAGCUUGACUGAGAUUCAACAGAAACUUCAGAUAUCCUCAAGUGUCUUAGCUCUGAGAUGAUAACAGAGACAAUCAUAUUAUCCUGUUAAUUUUAGGCCCUCACUCUCAAGCUUAUUUAGAAAUCUGAUACUCAU